UACGUAGGGUGCGAGCGUUGUCCGGAAUUACUGGGCGUAAAGAGCUCGUAGGUGGUUUGUCGCGUUGUUCGUGAAAACUCACAGCUCAACUGUGGGCGUGCGGGCGAUACGGGCAGACUAGAGUACUGCAGGGGGAGACUGGAAUUCCUGGUGUAGCGGUGGAAUGCGCAGAUAUCAGGAGGAACACCGGUGGCGAAGGCGGGUCUCUGGGCAGUAACUGACGCUGAGGAGCGAAAGCGUGGGGAGCGAACAGG
rnacentral:rRNA from 1 species